rnacentral:lncRNA from 1 species
AAGGAUAAACAACUAGAUAGUCAGAUCCCACACAUACCAAGCAUUUCAAUCAUACACACAAUAUGCUCGAUAUGUGCAAAUACAACAUGUUAUCACAACUUGACUCUACAACUCAAGUACUUUAUUUAAAGGCUCAGAGAGCCAUACAUAUCAUACACGCAAGUACGGGUCACACGACCCAGCAUUCAAGUCAUACAAACAUACAAGCCAACAGCAGAAGUAACUUGUCUGAAUACAGACAACUAGGAAAUAAAAGAGGCUUGAGAAAGCCUGACUAUACACACGGUCCAUCAUGAGCUCAGGAUCACCACCUGGGCUUCAGCCUACUCGUCGACAUCGACGUCUAUGAAGAACCCAUCAGAAGGAGUUGCAGUGUCUUCUGUAAAACGUAAAUUAAGCAACAUGAGUACAAAGGUACUCAGCAAGACUUACAUUAGAAUCUACAUACAUGCACAUUAUAAAGAAGGGUUGGUGGGGUUAUUGCAGCAAGCUAGCUUUGACUCUUGUCUAAGCUAUCCUACGAGACUCCAACUUGAAAUUGUUUUGCGCACACGAGUCCACUACACACCACUUCAAUACACUAUCGAGGAUCCACCUCCAUCAUCCUACGGAAGAGCCAUCCUCGGCACUCACGCUUAUCUUGAGGCUUUUAGUAGUAUUCAUUUACUUGUCUAUGAACUAUAUAGGCAACCAAGUAGUGCUUUACCACGGACGCGGCUAUUCAAAUAGAUGAUGUUAACCCUGCAGGGGUGUACUUCUUCAUACAUGUUUCCACCACUUCGCGUCUGCACAUGACAUGUGCUUGGCAGACUUCAAGCGAAAGCCGAUGUGAGUGUAGACCACAACCUACCUAAACACCUAAGUCUUUAGUCCAGGUUUAUCGCCUAUUCAGGUUCCAUCCGCAGGGAGUCCAGCCGAGGUUUCCACAUACGGCCCUGAAUGAUGUGUGCAGGGUUCCCGAGAUACCAAACGGGCAUCCGGUACACUGUGCCACGUACCUACCACAUCACAGCCCACCCCGCGAGUGAGCUGCCCACGGCCUCCAGUAAGCUACAAACACCAGAAACUACUUGCAACUCCUGGACAGAGGACUAGGGUGGAUAAGAAGUCAAGCAAGUCAAUUAAGGAUCCCAAUGUAUGGUAGUAGCUGAUUCUUAAAUCACAUAUACAGAUCUCGGUGCUUAAGAACAGUUCGAAUGAAACAACCCAUCAUGUACUCCUACAUGGCCUCUCAUCGAUACCUUUACCAAAUCGUGUUCAACACAUCACUCUCAUUACCGACAUGAUCAUUUCACUCUAGCCCAUCACCCAGAUGAACCAGACCUAACACGACUCUAAGCACAGCAGGCAUAGCAAGGUAGGAAACACAUACACAUGGCUCAAUCAACACCUACACAUGCUAGUGGGUUUCAUCUAGUUACUGUGGCAAUGACAGGUCAUGCAGAGAAAAUGGGUUCAACUAUCGUAGCACACAGUAGUUUGAAUCACGUUGUCUUAAUGCAGUAAAAGAGAGCAGAGGCGAGAACAUGGGAUUGUAUCGAUAUGAUCAAAUGGUUGGUUGCUUGCCUUGCGGGUCCGUGGACUGGUAGUGCUCCUCGUUAGGAUAUUCGCGAUACUCCUCGAGGGCAGAACCUGCCGCAGAGAGCACCGAUAUACAAUCAUCACCAAACAAUGUGCAACAAUAUGAUGCAUGCAUGAGACAUGGCAAAAUGAGUGUAUUGGGCUAAUGCAACUAAGACCAGAUGGGUUUGGACCAUUUUGAGUCAAAGAUUCAAGUUCCAAGCUCACAUAUGGCCCUUAAUAGUGAUUUAUCAUGUUCUGCACUAAACAGCAGGUUAACUUGCUUAAACAUGCAUGAAACCAGUAUAGAUGGAUAGAUUGGAUUUUUAUGAUCAUUUUUCAUAUAUAACACUUUGCAUUUGGAGCUACAGAUUAAUUUCUAUGAUCUUUUGAAGUUUGUAGUAUUUUCUGGAAUUUCCUAUAUAAGAAUAAUUCCAGUAAUUGAGUUAUUGCGUCAGCAUUGCGUCAGGGUGAUGUCAGCGGUCAAUGGGGAUGGUCCAGGUCAAACCUGACCAGUGGGUCCCGCGUGUCAGUGUCAUUAGGCUAACUAAUUUUAGUUAGUGCUAAUCCUAGGUUAAUUAGCAGAGCGGGCCCCACCUGUCAUUGACCCAGGGGGGUCAAACUGGGUCAGCAGGAUCAAACUUGCCGGCGAGGCCAAACGCGGCGGGGUGGUGCGGGUUUUGUGCUCCGGCGACCAAAAGGGCAGCGAAGGGCAUCUACGUGACGCUGAAGAUGAGCUGCAUCCAGUGGUGGUGGUGGUUGGGCUUGGGGUCGCCGGAAACGGCCCCGAUGAUGACCUUGGCGGCUGAUGGAGCUAGGGUGAGCUCGGGCUCGUCCCUAGGAGGCACGGCGAAGAGCGUGGAGUGGUGCGAUGAGCUCCUGGGGUGCGGUAAGGUCAACGGGCAGGGUGGCGUGGCCGUUGCGUGGCCAGAGUCACAUCGGCGACGAGCUCAGCGGCAACGCGUGCGGGUGAGCUUCGUGCAGUCGCUAUGGUGCUCGAGAGAGAAAAGGGAGAAGAUGGGGAGGUAGCCAGGCUCACGGUGGUCACGGCGGAGCAGAUGGCGAGGUCGGGGAUGAGCUGCUGCGACGAUGACGGCGAAAGGGAUCUCCGGCGACGGUCGGUGAAGUCGGGGUUGGUGGAGGCAGUGCAGAGCGUGCGAGCGCUCGGGGCUCGGCUAGCUCGAUGGAGCGGACGACGGCGGAGCUCGUGGACACGGUGGAGCGGCGCGAGGACGACGGUGGGUGCGGCUACGACGACGGGACGGUGGCGGCAGCUUCAGCCAUGGCGGAUGAGGGCGAGAGAGAGAGGACGGGGGGAGUGGGGUGUCCAAGGGCUCGGGACGGCCCCGAGGAGGCCCUUCGAGGCGUCGCGCUGGCGCGGGCGACGCAGGCAGGCAGGGAGGUGGCGUGGCGAGCUCGGCGGCGUCGUGUUGUCCCUCCUCUGCCUACUAGCAGAGGUAGGUGGUGACUGGCAUGGGCCGGAUGGGCCGGCCCAGCCAGGUAAGUGGCCUCUGGCCUUUCUCUCUCUCUCCUUUUUCAUUCAAUUUGCUUUUCUAUUUUUCUGUAAAUGUUGGGCUUUAUUAAAAAUACUAAAACAUUUCCAAAAAUUCUGCAAAUAAUUGUGGGCUCUGUUGGGAUUAUUCCUAACAGCCUGCACGUAAAUCCAGAAUUAUUUGGGCAUUUGGAUUAUUUUAUAGCAUUUAAAUGCCCAAAUGCAAAUAGAUAAAGAAUUAAUCCAGUGACCUUAAGUGUCCUAAAAAAUGUGAACCAUUUUUAGCAGAGGUUCUGGACCAAGGCAAAAAUGAUGGACAUUUUAGAAGGGUAUUUCAGGUUCAUUAAAAUUAUUUUUAGUAAACCCUAGUUGGUUUCAGGGGGGCUGGGGGUUCUGUCAUCCCCAUUUCCAGUUUCUGAUGAAAGGUAAACAUGACGCAGCACUCUAAUGCAUUAACUAGCUAGAGUGUGACAACUCACCCCCACUCAGAAAAAUCUCAUCCCGAGAUUUAGGAUCCUCCGGAAAGAAGGCGGGAUACUCGAGUCGAAGACGAUCCUCCCUUUCCCAGGUUACUUCUUUCUUAGAAUGGUGCGACCAUUGAACCUUGAGAAAAUUGAUAUUAUGACGUCGAGUGGUACGCUCGGCUUGAUUGAGGAUACGAACGGGGUAUUCUCGAUACGUGAGAUUAUCUUGAAGAUCAAGCGUUUCGUGGUCCACUCCACGGAUAGGAUCCGAGAAGCGAAGGUAAGCCUUCUCGUCAACCUCAAAAGUCAUAGCCUUAUGUUUUCGGUCAUAUUGGCUCUUUUGACGAGAUUGGGCUAUUUUCAACUUUUCACGAACGAUGCAAACUUGCUCUUCUGCUUCCUGGAUCAUAUCCGGGCCAAAGAAUUGUCUUUUCCCGGUUUUUGACCAGUUAAGAGGCGUUCGACACCUUCGUCCAUAGAGAACUUAAAAAGGGGCUUUACCCAAGCUAGAUUGAUAGAUGUUGUUAUAAGCAAAUUCGGCAAAUGGAAGGCAUUUCUCCCAAUCCAUUCCGAAUGAGAUAACACAAGCUCGAAGCAUGUCUUCUAAAAUCUGGUUGAUGCAUUCUACUUGACCACUUGAUUGGGGGUGGAAGGCGGUGCUAAAGGAUAGACGGGUUCCCAUAGCAUUUUGGAAACUUUCCCAAAAUCGAGAGGUGAAGAGACGUCCUCGAUCUGAGUUGAUUUCCAGUGGAACACCAUGGAGGAACACUAUCAGGGAGAUAUACAAGUCUGCUAGCUGACUAGCGGUUAUACUCUCAUGAACAGGCAAGAAAUGAGCCACUUUGGAAAGACGAUCGAUAACGACAAAGAUAGCGUUAUUCCCUUUCUUGGUCCUAGAAAAACCGGUGAUGAAAUCCAUACCAAUUUUAUCCCAUUUCCAUUCAGGAAUAGCUAAAGGUUGAAGGGUGCCAGCAGGUCGUUGAUGCUCUACUUUUACACGAUGGUAGACGUCGCAAUUAGCAACAAACUGAGCAAUGUCUCUCUUCAUCCUAGUCCAUCAGAACCUCUGCCAUAGGUCCUGAUACAUUUUAGUGCUACCGGGAUGAAUGGUGAGAGGAGACUCAUGAGCUUCCUUAAAGAUCAACUAUCGUAGGUGUCGCUUCUUGGGAACCACUAAACAGUUUUCGAAGUAUACGACAUCUUGACCAUUCACGGAGAAACAUGUAGCAACUCCGCUAGCAAUGUUCUCCUUGAUCCGAGAUAUCCCCUUGUCAUACCGCUGAGCGGUUAUGAUAUGAUCCAUAAGGGUAGGUUUUGCCACCAAGGUGGAAAGGAAUCCUUGAGGAACAAUGUGAAGGUUAAGCUUUCGAAAUUCCUCAUGAAGAAGUGGUUGACUUUGUUGUAACAUCAAAUUGUUACAAUAAGAUUUAUGACUUAGUGCAUCAGCUAUGACAUUGGCUUUUCCUGGGGUGUAAGUUAUCCCUAAGUCGAAAUCUGUGAACAACUCGACCCAACAUUUUUGCCUGAGAUUCAAAUCCGGUUGGGUGAAUAUAUACUUCAGACUUUGAUGAUCGGUGAAGAUUUCGCAACGAUAACCGAGGAGGUAAUGUCGCCAGGUUUUGAGUGCAUGGGCUACAGCUGCAAGCUCUAGAUCAUGUGUAGGAUAAUUUUCCUUAUGUGGGUGCAAUUGCCGUGAAGCAUAAGCAAUUACGUGACGAUCUUGCAUGAGAAUGCAACUUAGUCCUUGUUGCGAGGCGUCGCAAUAGAUAACAAAGUCCUUGGAGAAGUCUGGUGGUACCAGUACGGGAGCAGAUGUUAGGCAUCUUUUCAGUUCCUGAAAACUGUGCUCGCAUUAUGGGGUCCACUCGAACUUUUUAUCUUUCUUGAGAAGUUCAGUUAGAGGUUUCGCAACCUUGGAGAAGUUCUCGACAAAGCGGCGACAAUAGCUUGCUAAGCCAAGAAAACUCCUAACUUGCUUGACCAAUUCAGGUAGAGUCCAAUUAAGAAUGACUUGAACUCGCUCGGGAUUGACAGCAAUACCCUUACCAAAGAUUACAUGGCCUAGAUAGGUCACUUCUGGCAACCAAAAUUCACAUUUAGAGAAUUUGGCAUAAAGGCGAUGCUCUCGAAAUUUCAUCAACACUAGCCUUAGAUGCUCGGCAUGUUCUUCCUCGUUCUUGGAGUAGAUGAGUAUAUCAUCGAGGUAAACCACAACGAAUUUAUCCAAGUACUCCAUGAAGAUUGAGUUCAUUAACCGAGAGAAAGUGGUUGGGGCGUUGGUUAAACCGAAGGACAUGACAGUGUACUCGUAUUGGCCAUGACGAGUAACAAAGGCCGUUUUAGGGAUGUCCCCAUUCUUGAUUUUGAUUUAAUGGUAGCCCAACCUCAAAUCCAUCUUAGGGAAGACUGAGGAUCCAGCGAGCUGAUCAUACAGGUCGUUGAUCCUGGGGAGCGGAUACUUGUUCUUUAUUGUGACCAAGUUAACGGGUCGAUAAUCUACAACCAUCCGAUCCGUACCAUUCUUCUUCUUAACGAAGAGGACGGGACAAGCCCAUGGAGACGAACUAGGACGGAUGAAACCCUUUUUCAAGGACUCAUCGAGUUGUUUCUUAAGCUCGACUAGUUCUGGUGGUGCCAUCUUAUAGGGUCUUAUAGAAAUUGAGACAGUUCCUGGAAUAAGAUCUAUCACGAACUCGACAUCUCUGUCAGGUGGAACACCUGGCAAUUCUUCUGGAAAGACAUCCGGAAAGUCACGGACUACCGGAACGUCUUCGAGGUCUGGCAAAGGACUGGCAUUAAGAGAAUAUAGCUGUCGCUUGGCUACUCGAGUCAAGACAUUGACUAUCUUUCCCGAAGGAUGUGUAAGUUGAACAGUUCUAGAGAAGCAAUCAAUCUUAGCAUGAUAUGCUAACAUCCAGUCCAUACCCAAGAUGAUAUUAAUAUCCGAGGAUUUUAGAGCUAUCAAAGACGCAAGAAAAACAAGUUUGUCAACCUGAAUUUCAUUUCCAUGGCCCACUCUAGAAGUCUGCCAUUUGAAUCCCGGGGUUUGAAUUACCAUGGAGGUGGGCAUAUCACAAAAUGUGGUGUUAUGCAGACGAGCAUAGCUCUUAGAUAUAAAUGAAUGAGAUGCUUCAGUAUCAAAAAUAACAGAUGCCGGAUGGCAAUUAACAAGGAGCGUACCAAGAACGACGUUAGGAUCCUCCUGAGCCUCUUCAGCUGAGACACAGUUCACAUGGUCACGUGCAGCGGUGGCCGGCUUAGCGUAGUACACCUUCCCUGUUGGCUUGCCACGGCCAACAGCCUUUCCAGACUGGUUGGGGUUGGUCUGGGGACACUCUCGCAUGUAGUGGCCUGGUUCCCCACACUUGAAGCACGUCACAGAGCUGGUGCGUGGAGGUGUAUUGCUGGUUGGUCCACCAUAGGGCUUGGCUGGUGCAUACUGCUGGGCUGGGCGAGGCGCCUGAUAGGAUGGUCUUGGUGUGAACCUGGGUGGCAGGGCAGUGUUAGGCACCCACACCCGGCGCUUUUGAGGGCCAGAACUGGAUGAGGAACCCAUGUCACGGCCAUGCUUGCAUGUCGCUUCGAAAUCAGUCUGACCUGUCUCAGCACUGAUGGCCUUGUUCACAAGCUUCUGGAAGGAGGUCCACUCGUGCAGACGGAGGUCACGACAAAGCUGAGCUCGGGGCUAAGUCCCUUACGGAACCUUGCCUGCUUCUUGUCAUCAGUGAAAACUUCCUCAGUUGCAUAACGUGCUAGGUUACCGAACUCCCUGCUGUAUGCAUCCACAGAGAGUACCUUGGGUGAAACUGCAGAACUCCUCACGCUUGCGAUCCAUAAGACUCUCCAAAAUGUGAUGUUCACAGAAAGCCUCACUGAAUUCUACCCAAGUAGUGACCUGGCCAGCUGGGCGCAUGGCCUCAUAGUUCUCCCACCAGAGACUGGCGGGGCCUUCAAGAUGAUAGGCAACAAAAGUGACCUUAUCAGCCUCAGCUACGAGUGCGGAACGUAGCUUGUGGGUAAUGCUACGAAGCCAAUCAUUGGCGUUGAGGGGCUCGACGGAGUGAUAGAAGGUGGGUGGAUGUAACUUGAUGAAGUCACUGAGCGACACCAAGUUAUUCCUCUGAUGCAGUGAUGUGUUCUGUUCGAUGCGUUCCAACAAACGGAUGGUCUCCCAUUUGUUCCUCCCGGCCUCCAGCAUGACCUCAGCCAGAGAAGGAGGAUGAGGCAAGUUCGCAUCUCUAGCUCCACUGCCUUCAGCCUGCUCCGGGGGGAGCAGGGUUGUUGUGGGUAUUGACCAUCCUAAGAAAACAAGACAAUGCUUUAGUCCAGAAUGGUAAGAUUUUGACAUAAAAAUGCAGAAUGUAAGGGAUAACUCGAAAUGCAAGAUGAUCAUCCGUAUGACAUGGUAAAUACAGAAACUGCUACACUUAUUCCAUCGUCAUACACACCAUACAAGGUUUAGUACAAGACCAAACGAAGUACAACUGCGAUGAAAGGAAGAUUACAUCUUAUCGGAGGCAUCCCAAGCUCCUAUACAUUAUAUUUCUACACCUCCAAAAAGUGGUACCAUCAGCUCAGUCAUAUCCCACAAUCACGCAGGACGGUGGACGAUAUAACUGUUACAAUACUAGUGGUGCUACCAUCAGCUCAAACAUCUCCGUAGUAAUCUUCGUAGAGAUUACCCCCAUGUCCUGGAAGCUGGACGUGAUCAUCUGGAAACAGUCGAUCCUGUGGAGCCUGCAGUCCAUAGGGACACAGAUGUGGCCUGGGACCAACAAAUGGUGACAGAAGAGGUCCAUGGGGAGGAGUGAUGCCCCCUACAUCACGACAAUCCAUAUGAUCCAGCAGACUAGACCGCACGGGGUACAGAUCCCGCAUAUCCAUAUACCCAGCCUGCACAGCAGGUGCAAACCGGGUCAAAGUGUCCCAGUGAUCAGACCGGGAGUUGAAAAGCUCCAAUCGCAAGGCACGAUUUUCACGGUCCUUAUCCUCAAGCAUCUGUGCGGUAGUGCGAAGUAGCGAGUCCUCAUGAUGAGAGUCGGUGUAAAUAGCUGUGAAAUAACCUUCUGCCCCAGGGAGUGACGCUGGCAUAUAGCGGAAGUCAGUGUUCCAAAGCAAGCCAGUUCUAGCCCGCAUAAUAGUCAUCAUUGAAUAGACACUCAACAACAUCAUAUCAAGAUUUUGAGACACUUUGCAAAGGAUUGCAUAGACACUAACAACAUCAUAUCAAGAUUCUGAAUCCAUUUUAGCAACAUAAUGGGGUAGUAGAACUGAACUAGGCUUGUAUCCAUCAAUCAUAUAAGGUACUACUGAUUAGUAACACGUGAACAUGAGAGAAAGUGGUUGGGGCAUUGGUUAAACCGAAGGACAUGACAGUGUACUCGUAUUGGCCAUGACGAGUAACAAAGGCCGUUUUAGAGAUGUCCCCAUUCUUGAUUUUGAUUUAAUGGUAGCCCAACCUCAAAUCCAUCUUAGAGAAGACUGAGGAUCCAGCGAGCUGAUCAUAUAGGUCGUUGAUCCUGGGGAGCGGAUACUUGUUCUUUAUUGUGACCAAGUUAACGGGUCGAUAAUCUACAACCAUCCGAUCCGUACCAUCCUUCUUCUUGACGAAAAGGACGGGACAAGCCCAUGGAGACGAACUAGGACGGAUGAAAUCCUUUUUCAAGGACUCAUCGAGUUGUUUCUUAAGCUCGGCUAGUUCUGGUGGUGCCAUCUUAUAGGGUCUUAUAGAAAUUGGGACAGUUCCUGAAAUAAGAUCUAUCACGAACUCGACAUCUCUGUCAGAUGGAACACCUGGCAAUUCUUCUGGAAAGACAUCCGAAAAGUCACGGACUACCGGAACGUCUUCGAGGUCUGGCAAAGGACUGGCAUUAAGAGAAUAUAGCUGUCGCUUGGCUACUCGGGUCAAGACAUUGACUAUCUUUCCCGAAGGAUGUGUAAGUUGAACAGUUCUAGAGAAGCAAUCAAUCUUAGCAUGAUAUGCUAACAUCCAGUUCAUACCCAAGAUGAUAUUAAUAUCCGAGGAUUUUAGAGCUAUCAAAGACGCAAGAAAAACAAGUUUGUCGACCUAAAUUUCAUUUCGAUGACCCCAACCACGGGUCAGUGCUGCCCACGGCCUCCAGUAAGCUACAAACACCAGAAACUACUUGCAACUCCUGGACAGAGGACUAGGGUGGAUAAGAAGUCGAGCGAGUCAAUUAAGGAUCCCAAUGUAUGGUAGUAGCUGAUUCUUAAAUCACAUAUACAUAUCUCGGUGCUUAAGGACGGUUCCAAUGAAACAACCCACCAUGUACUCCUACAUGGCCUCUCAUUGAUACCUUUACCAAAUCGUGUUUAACACAUCACUCUUAUUACCGAUAUGAUCAUUUCACUCUAGCCCAUCACCCAGAUGAACUAGACUUGACACGACUCUAAACAUAGAAGCCAUAGCAAGGUAGGAAACACAUACACAUGGCUCAAUCAACUCCUACACAUGCUAGUGGAUUUCAUCUAAUUACUGUAGCAAUGACAGGUCAUGCAGAAAAAAUGGGUUCAACUACCGUAGCACACAGCAGUUCGAAUCGUGUUAUCUUAAUGUAGUAAAAAAGAGCAGAGGCGAGAACAUGGGAUUGUAUCGAUAUGAUCAAAUGGUUGGUUGCUUGCCUUACGGGUCCGUGGACUAGUAAUGCUCCUUGUUAGGAUAUUCGCGAUACUCUACGGGGCAGAACCUGCCGCAAAGAGCACCGAUAUACAAUCAUCACCAAACAAUGUGCAACAAUAUGAUGCAUGCAUGAGACAUGGAAAAAUGAGUGUAUUGGACUAAUGCAACUAAGACCAGAUGGGUUUGGACCAUUUUGAAUCAAAGAUUCAAGUUCCAAGCUCACAUAUGGUUCUUAAUAGUGCUUUAUCAUGUUCUGCACUAAACAGUAGGUUAACUUGCUUAAACAUGCAUGAAAACAGUACAGAUGGAUAGAUUAGAUUUUUCUGAUCAUUUUUCAUAUAUAACACUUUGCAUUUGGAGAUACAGAUUAAUUUCUAUGAUUUUUUGAAGUUGUAGUAUUUUCUAGAAUUUCUUGUAUAAGAAUAAUUCCAGUGAUUGAGUUAUUGCAUCAGGGUGACAUCAGCGGUCAACGGGGACGGUCCAGGUCAAACCUGACCAGUGGGUCCCGCGUGUCAGUGUCAUUAGGCUAACUAAUUUUAGUUAGUGCUAAUCCUAGGUUAAUUAACAGAGUGGGCCCCACCUGUCAUUGACCCAGGGGGGUCAAACUGGGCCCACCCGAGGUCAAACUGGGUCAGCGGGGUUAAACUCGCCGGCGUUUAGCCGCCGGCGAGGCCAAACGCGGCGGGGUAGUGCGGUUUUUGUGCUCCGGCGACCAAAAGGGCGGCGAAGGGCAUCUACGUGACGCUGGAGAUGAGCCGCAUCUAGUGGUGGUUGGGCUUGGGGUCGCCGGAAAUGGCACCGACGAUGACCUUGGCGGCUGCCGGAGCUCGAGUGAGCUCGGGCUCGUCGCUAGGAUGCACGGCGAGGAGCGUGGAGUGGUGCGGUGAGCUCCUGGGGGUGCGGUAAGGUUAACGAGCAGGGUGGCGUGGCCGUUGCGUGGCCGGAGUCACGUCGGCGAUGAGCUCAGCGGCGACGCGUGCGGGUGAGCGUCAUGUAGUCGCUACGGUGCUUGAGAGAGAAAACAGAGAGGAUGGGGAGGUAGCCAGGCUCACGGUUGUCACGGCGGAGCAGACGGCGAGGUCGGGGAUGGGCUGCUGCGACGGUGACGGCGAAAGGGAUCUCCGGCGACGGUCGGUGACGUCGGGGUUGGUGGAGGCGGUGCAGAGUGUGCGAGCGCUCGGGGCUCGUCUAGCUCGACGGAGCGGACGACGACAGAGCUCGUGGACACGGUGGAGCGACGCGAGGACGACGAUGGGCGCGGCUACGGCAGCGGAACGAUGGCGGCUACUUCGGCCAUGGCGGGAGAGGGCGAGAGAGGAUAGGGGGGAGAGUGGGGUGUCCAGGGGCUCGGGACGGCGCCGAGAAGGCCCUUCAAGGCGUCGCGAUGGCGCGGGCGACGCAGGCAGGCAGGGAGGUGGCGUGGCAAGCUCGGUGGCGUUGCGUUGUCCCUCCUCUGCCUACUGGCAGAGGUAGGUGGUGACUGGCACGGGCCCGCCAGGUAAGUGGCCUCUGGCCUUUCUCUCUCUCUCCCCUUUUUCAUUUAAUUUGCUUUUCUAUUUUUCUAUAAAUGUUGGGCUUUAUUAAAAAUACUAAAACGUUUUUAAAAAUCCUGCAAAUAAUUAUGGGCUCUGUUGGGAUUAUUCCUAAGAGCCCUCACUUAAAUCCAGAAUUAUUUGGGCACUUGGAUUAUUUUAUAGCAUUUAAAUGCCCAAAUGCAAAUAGAUAAAGAAUCAAUCCAGUGACCUUAAUUGUCCUAGAAAAAUGUGAACCAAUUUUAGCAGAGGUUCUGGACCAAGGCAAAAAUGAUGGAUAUUUUAGAAGGGCAUUUCAGGUUCAUUGAAAUUAUUUUUAGUAAACCCUAGUUGAUUUCAGGGGGCUGGGGGUUCUGUCAUCCCCAUUUCCAGUUUCUGAUGAAAGGUACACAUGAUGCAGCACUCUAAUGCAUGAACUAGCUAGGGUGUGACAGCACUGGUGAGGUGAUUGAAAACAUCUACGUGGCCUGGGCAACUCAAACAUAUAGUUAGUGGCGUGGCGCCCGUGUCGCGUCGUGCAAUGUCCUGCCUCUGCCUACUGGCAGUGGUAGGGGAUGACUGGCAUGCGGGCCGGCUGGGCUGGCUAGUGAGUUUCCUCUCUCUCUACUUUUUCCAUUUAGUUUUGUUUGUUAUUUUCUUUUCUCUGUUUUGAUUUGAUUUCAAACAGAAUCAUUUUGUAAAAUCCUGAAAUAAAUUGUGGACUCUUUCUGAAUUAUUCCAGUGGCCCUCAAUUAGGUUUGAAAUUAUUUGAGCAUUUAAAGUAUUUAUUGCAUGCCCAAAUUCAAAUACUUUAUGGCUUAAUUCAAAAAUCCAAAAGUGUCCGAAAAAUGUGUGGAUCAUUUUUGGCAGAGGUUUGCACCUUUUUCAAAAAUCAUGAACUUUUAUGAAGGGCAUUUUGGAUUCAUUGAAAAUAUUUUUAGCUGAUCCUAUUAUUUUCGAAGGGUUUGUUGGAUCCCCAAUUCAAAAUUCAAGAAAAUUUAAACAUGAUGCACAUGCAAGACUAGCCCAAGUGCAAAGCUAAACUAGGGUUGUGACAUGUAUCAUCUGAAUUUUUUCCUCAACAGAACUCUAAAUUCAAUUUCAGUAAAAUACAACCUACUGUGAGUGACAUGCGGGCGUUGACCUCACUAUUACUCUUACAGUUCGCAUGACAAGAAAAAAUGAUUGACAUUUUGACAACAACAAAAAGGCAAAUAAAACGCAUAAAAACUCACAAAAUUCCAACAGCAGACAGUCCUAUUAACAGAGUCUGGUGGCAGGAACCCGCUGGUUUCUUAUACCGUAGUAAGAAAGCAAAAGGGAAGGAAAUAGUCUAGCAAUAUGUUGUGUGAGAGUUUCUGUGCUGCUUUUGUGAGCGUUUUUUAUUAGUGAGAAAGUAAUAUCGUGUGAGGAGAUCCUUUUGCACUCCUUUCACCUCAGCGUGUUUUCCGAUUCCAUUUUAAUCUGGGCUCUGUUAUUGGCCUUUUUCUGUGAGAAAUGAAAUUAUGUGUAAGCUAAAAGCUCAGGUUUUGUUGUUCUUUUAACCCAAAGCUCAGGUUUUGUUGGCACGCGAGGGUGGUGGAAAUGGAAUAACAUAAAUUACAUUCAUAAGCAUUGUUGUGCAAACAGCUAAAAGUGACGGUGAUCCGAGCUAGAUUAUUUACCAUUUGACCGAUAGACCAUGACGGACUUUUUGCGCAUCAUGAUCUGGCGAGGGACAUGCACCAUCUGAGCGGCCUGCAGAUGUAACAUUAGCAGCGAUGUCACAAGGUAAGCACCAGAAAUUAUUCCUUACUGUAACAAAGCAGAAGAAAAACAGCCCGUGAUCUGACAUUAGCUAUGCGCAAGCAGACGCUUUCGGAUUUCUAUUUUCCAGGCGCUUCUAAAGGGAGAGUGCAUGAUGUGGAAAACUCACGAAAAAGUUGGCAUCCAUAGCAUAAACGCAAGGUAAAUAACUAGGAUUGUUUUGGAAGAAAGAUCGGGAAAUCUUUGCUUGCCUUGAGGCGGAGCAGCAACGGCGGCGGACUGCCUCCUUCCUACGUCGCAUGAUUCCAUUCAUCCGAGGGAGCAUGAGGGCGUCGCUCAUGGUGCACAGAAGCAGCGCUGCCGCCGCCCCUCGAUCGGUCGACCGACGGCUCGCCGGCGUUCGCCGGUGCGCCGUGCCCCUGCAAGACCGCCGCCUCCUGCGGGAGACACCCGUCCGCAAGACGGAGAGAGCCUUUUUUUUUUUGAGACAAGCAAGACGGAGAGAGCCGUGUGCUGGCGAUGGAGCCGGGCUACG